rnacentral:misc_RNA from 1 species
GAAAUGCUAUAAGUAGUGUGAAUUGCAGAAUUCAGUGAAUCAUCGAAUCUUUGAACGCACAUUGCGCCCCUUGGUAUUCCAUGGGGCAUGCCUGUUCGAGCGUCAUUUGUACCUUCAAGCUUUGCUUGGUGUUGGGUGUUUGUCUCGCCUCUGCGCGCAGACUCGCCUCAAAACAAUUGGCAGCCGGCGUAUUGAUUUCGGAGCGCAGUACAUCUCGCGCUUUGCACUCAUAACGACGACGUCCAAAAAGUACAUUUUUUACACUCUUGACCUCGGAUCAGGUAGGGAUACCCGCUGAACUUAAGC